GAUAGAGGGGGAUAAUGUGACAGGUUAGCACCCAUUAGUAGUUAACUUACACAACCAUCUCACAUAUCCACACAUGCAUACAAUCCCACUCUGUGCAUGUGUAGUUCUAACAAUUCCUCUGUGCAAUCCUUGUGAUUCUGCUCCACACACAUAUAGUCUCUAACAAUUCCUUCAUAUAUUUCUUAAUGUUCCUCCAUCCUACUCAUGCUUCUAUAAAAAUCUCUUCAUACAAUCUUUCCUUUCAAUCUCUUUUCUCUUUCUUUCCUUAAUCAAUUUGUAAACUGUAUUAGGAUAGUGCUUAAACUGU
rnacentral:sRNA from 1 species